rnacentral:tRNA from 1 species
GGCGAGAUGGCUCAGUGGUUAGAGCACUAACUCACUGACCGGAAGGUCUGCGGUUCGAACCCGACUUUUGCCU